ACCUACAGCCAUGCCACCCUGAAUGUGCUGAUCUCGUCUGAUCUCAGAAGCCAAACAGGGUCCGGCCUGGUUAGUACUUGAAUGGGAGACCGCCUAAGAAUACCAGGUGCUGUAGGCA
rnacentral:rRNA from 1 species